rnacentral:tRNA from 1 species
GGCCUCGUGGUGUAAUGGUAGCACAAAGGAUUCUGAUUCCUUUAGUCGGGGUUCGAGCCCCUGCGAGGCUACCA